UAUGUAUGUAAUAUUAUUUUUCAAUGAGUGUUUUAAUACUCCGUAAUAUUAUUUGUAUAAUAAACCGUGGGAUCGUAAGUCCUUUUAAUAUACAACCAUUGACAGCGGGGAUGAUUUUUUUUAUUUCUCGCACAAAGAAAAACUAAAAAAAAAAAAUUGUUUGCAAAAAAAAUUAUUGUUUGGUAAAGAAAACUCGAUGACAAGUGGGCUAUACUUGGUCUAUUACUAAAAAAAAGUGCAAAAUACGGGGAAAAAAAAGAAGUUUUGAGCAAUCGCUAUGUUAUUUUCUCUUUAUAAGUAUAAUAAAUAACACUACCUGCUAGAUAUAUUUAUUUAAAAUCCUGGCUAUUACUGCUGAUGAUGGGUGCAGUGCUAUUGUUUUAGGAGAGAAGAUGGAAGGGAAAACAUAUAGAGUGAUUUAAUUUGUAUAUGUAUGUAAUAAUAAACCGUUGCUAAUGAAAAACGAUUCUGAGCAAUAUAGGAUAA